UGGGGAAUAUUGGACAAUGGGCGAAAGCCUGAUCCAGCCAUUCCGCGUGUGUGAAGAAGUCCUUUUGGUUGUAAAGCACUUUAAGCGAGGUGGAGGCUACUAGUACUAAUACUACUGGAUAGUGGACGUUACUCGCAGACUAAGCACCGGCUAACUCUGUGCCAGCAGCCGCGGUAAUACAGAGGGUGCGAGCGUUAAUCGGAUUUACUGGGCGGAAAGAGUGCGUAGGCGGCUGAUUAAGUCGGAUGUGAAAUCCCUGAGCUUAACUUAGGAAUUGCAUUAGAUACUGGUCAGCUAGAGGAUGGAAGAGGAUGGUAGAAUUCCAGGUGUAGCGGUGAAAUGAGUAGAGAUCAGGAGGAAUACCGAUGGCGAAGGCAGCCAUCAGGCAUAAAACUGACGCUGAAGUACGAAAGAAUGGGGAGCAAACAGG
rnacentral:rRNA from 1 species